rnacentral:rRNA from 1 species
GGACAAACGAGAGCAAAGCUAUAUCUAAAACACAAAAUAAAACUGCCCUUUAGGUGAAGAGGCCUAAAUAAUAUUAAAAGACAAAAAGACCCUGUAGAGCUUAAUCAUUAUUUAAUUAAAAAAUAAAUAAAUUAUAUUAAUUUUUAUAUAUAAAAUGAUUUAGCUGGGGCGGCUAUGGAGCACUAAAACCUCCUUUAUAUUAAAAGGAUACAGCCCAUUAUACUGAUCCCUUAUAGAUUACAGAAACAAGCUACCUCAGGGAUAACAGGCUUAUAUCUUCUGAGAGCACUUAUCGAAGAAGAAGUUUGGCACCUCGAUGUUGGCUUAGGAGACCCUAAAGAUAGUAGAAGUCUUUAAAGGCAGGUUUGUUCAACCUUUAAUCCCCUACGUGAGC